AACUACGUGCCAGCAGCCGCGGUAAUACGUAGGGAGCAAGCGUUAUCCGGAUUUACUGGGUGUAAAGGGUGCGUAGGCGGCUUGGUAAGUCAGAUGUGAAAUGUAUGGGCUCAACCCAUGCACUGCAUUUGAAACUAUUGAGCUUGAGUGAAGUAGAGGUAGGCGGAAUUCCCUGUGUAGCGGUGAAAUGCGUAGAGAUAGGGAGGAACACCAGUGGCGAAGGCGGCCUACUGGGCUUUAACUGACGCUGAGGCACGAAAGCGUGGGUAGCAAACAGGAUUAGAUACCCUGGUAGUCCACGCUGUAAACGAUGAUUACUAGGUGUGGGGGGUCUGACCCCUUCCGUGCCGGAGUUAACACAAUAAGUAAUCCACCUGGGGAGUACGACCGCAAGGUUGAAACUCAAAGGAAUUGACGGGGGCCCGCACAAGCAGUGGAGUAUGUGGUUUAAUUCGAAGCAACGCGAAGAACCUUACCAGGUCUUGACAUCGAGUGACGAAUCUAGAGAUAGAUUUUUCCUUCGGGACACAAAGACAGGUGGUGCAUGGUUGUCGUCAGCUCGUGUCGUGAGAUGUUGGGUUAAGUCCCGCAACGAGCGCAACCCUUGCUAUUAGUUGCUACGCAAGAGCACUCUAAUAGGACUGCCGUUGACAAAACGGAGGAAGGUGGGGACGACGUCAAAUCAUCAUGCCCCUUAUGACCUGGGCUACACACGUACUACAAUGGACAUAAACAGAGGGAAGCAAAACAGCGAUGUGGAGCAAACCCCUAAAAAUGUUCUCAGUUCAGAUUGCAGGCUGCAACCCGCCUGUAUGAAGAUGGAAUUGCUAGUAAUCGCAGAUCAGCAUGCUGCGGUGAAUACGUUCCCGGGCCUUGUACACACCGCCCGUCACACCAUGGGAGCCGGUAAUACCCGAAGUCAGUAGUCUAACCGCAAGGAGGACGCUGCCGAAGGUAGGAUUGGCGACUGGGGUGAAGUCGUAACAAGGUAGCCGUAUCGGAAGGUGCGGCUG
rnacentral:rRNA from 1 species